ACCAAUCCAAAGCCCACGCAUAAGUUUCUAGUUUAACUCACUCUCCUUCUACUAUCUCACCCGCAAAUGGCACCUCAUGCCAAUCGUCUCGCCGAUAUCGGAAGGGAGGGUUUUGCUCUAGUGGACAGAUUUUAUGGUGAAGGGACAUCGGGUCCAGUACCAAAGAAGCAAUACAAAGGCCCAAAGCAGUAUGCUUCUGUUCCCAGUGACAAGAACGCAAUCGAUAGCAAGAAGGCCGCCGAAAAGUACAAAGGAACUGUGGUCACGAAGUACUACAAGAAGUUUAUUGGCUGGCGUUUCUAGGUUCUAGCACUGUAAACAUGUAAUGGUUCGAGUGACUUCCUAGAAGGUAGAGGUAACCGGAUGAAUAAGUCCUUGUCAUGGUUUUCACGGUUUUCCUCAGUCACUUCGAACUCUAGUACUGUGUUUAUGUAUAUCUUUUGUUUUUCAGCUUUCUGAAGUUUAAUUGUAUGCUUGGACAUGUCUAAGCUUUUAAUUGGACCCAUUUUACACUAUAUUCGACUUUUUAUUCCUCUCUUUGAUAAAAUUUAUGUCAAUCUAUGGUAUACUCGGACACUGACCGGUAUGAAAAGAGGACUUCAAUCGUUUUCAAAGUGAAUGACCACAACUUAAAGAACUCGCCAAUUUUCUGCUCCAAGGACUGUCCAAGAACUAGCAGGCCAUUGGACACUCUGGUUCUAUUGCUGACUUGCUGCUGCAUGAUUGAAUUCAUAAUCUUGAGUAAUAUUUUCUAAGGACUCGCCAAAGAUGAACCAUCCAAUUACGCAAGAUACGGUAGUAAAUCCAGCUGGCGCUUGCAACAUAUAACUACACAGAUGGACCAUUCUUUGACUUUUUUUGGUGCAAUUGCAUUCUUUCUCUUGUCUAGGAUGCUAAACUAUUUUCUAGGAUCAAAUAUCACUACUAUUGUAGCGGAAAAAUAUGUCCAAUAACUUCCUAGAUAUGUCACGAAUUAUUCACCUCUUAUUCAUAAAUUACAAGCAGCGAGCAUAAAAUAUUAGGGAUCUGCAUACUAACAAGCACAAGUUAUUUUCUUUUCUUUCUUGGAUGAAAGCGUGAAUAGUGAAUCUAAGUUUUUCAUCUAAACCAAAAGAACGACAAGAAUGAACGAAGGGGAACAGCUGAUGCACCACAUAUCAGGUUAACUCCAGGGGGUUCCUCAACUCAAAUAUGCAAAGAUCACUGAUCUCUAAGGCUCCAUCCACUUUUGACCAAAAAGGUUGAAUUUCUGAACCAUUUUGAGGGCUUUUGACGAAGUGUCUUCAAUCUGUUGGUACCCCGGGCUGGUACAGAUGAAGUAUGUGGCUCUUUGGCGGAGAAGUUGACUUCUCCAAGAGAGAAUCAUAUGACUGGAAGGCCGUGAAAAAAGAAUCUUGAAACACUGAGCAAAAUUCCACCUAGAGACUAUCAAUGUGGUGAACCAAUAUUGUUAUUGCAGGCAUGCCAAACCGCUUUUCGAUCCCUCCAAAACCACCAAAGAUCUUAAAGUCUAUAACCGGAGGUACGAUUGCUGGCAGUCAGUUUUAGACUUUACCAUUAAAGGUAGCUAGGUCGGAGCAGGCCUUGUGUAACACCCUCGAUUCCAACCCUAUGAGGAUCGGCCAUAAAGUCCUGAAUGGAUCGACCAUGAGCCAUUGGCUAUGGGAUCGAUUGGUUUGAUCGGUAAGGAAUCAAUGAUUGGUCAUGGUCCAAUCGGCGGAUCGACCGGGCAAGAAUUGGUCGAGAUGUCGGCCGUGAAUUGUCUACCGACCAUAUCGAUGGAAUAGGAUUACCAGCUCAUAAGAUGAAUUUUUGAUAACGAGGAUUGGUCAUAGGGUGAUUUUGGAUUGGCGGAUGAUCAUGGGUCGAUCCGAUUGAUUGUAAUGCCCGGCCAUGAGUGCUUCUGCCCGACUAUGCACCGAUACACAGAUGAUGCGACUUUAUAAAUGUGAUUGUCUUUGUCGUGACCAAAAUUUUUCGGGUGUGAACCACCUAGAGUUUGGCUAACGGAUUGUUAAGUCUAAACUUAACUCGGGCUCUCCCAAGCCCAUAUCAAUUCGCGACUUACGUUCAAGUUCUUAACAUGCAAUUGAUUUUUUAAUCAGGAGUCGUCACUAAUAUAUUUUUUUGGUGGGUCGAUUAGAAACCCAAGUAAAGUAACGGGAUUUUCACUUUACUCCUACGAACCAGAGACUAUGGGUACGGGGACUUGGUUACACUAGAUUUCUCUAAUGCCCUUUCGGUACCAUUCUUUUAUUUUCAAAAAAUGUUUUUGCAGGCAGCUUAAAUUGAUUUUAAAUCUAUUUUACUAACAUGUGAGGUGAUCAUGCAGGUGCGCAAUCCACCAAUUUAACACCUAGAUAAACAAUAAAUAAAUUGCAAAAAGUUACCUCAAAGCAACGAAAGCAUCUGCAAUGUUAAGUUAAAAACCGUAUCAACAACCUUAGAUAUGGUUUCUAAUUACCACGCAAUUUCUUUUUUUGUUUUCACUUAAUUAAUGAAAAUCAUGCAAUAUGCAAUGCAAUAUUAACUAAAUGACCUAAUUCUAAUGACAUGCAAUUUCUAGUUAAAUAGGCCUAGCAAAAAUACUAAAUGACAUGCAUCCCAGUGAAUCUAGCCCUAAUGACGUGCAUAUGCCAUUUUUCUCUUUUUCCUAAAAUAAUGCAUUUUAUCAUAAACAAUAAAACUAAUUUAACCUAUGGCAUUUUUUUUUGUAUUUUUCAGGUGAAAUGUGAAAAUUACCUAAUUAGAUUAAGAUCCUAUUUAAUUUAUGUUAGGAAUUAGGUUGAGCCAAAUCCUAAUUUAAACUAAAACAUUAUCUUAACCUAAAUAAUCCUAAAAUGCAAUAUAUCUAAAAAAUACCUAAACUUAUAACAAAUUAAGAAAAAAAUAUUAUCUAGAAUUGAACUAAGUGAAAUUUAGUCCUAAUACGCAAUAACGUGCAAAAUAUGCUUUAACACUACAUGACAUGUAUAUGAUGAUUUUUUUUUUGUUUUUGUUUAAUUUCGAAAUUAAUAAUUGCCAAAUAAUUAAACAUGCAAUCCAAAUUAAAAAUCUAGCAACCUAAAUUGAUUGAUUUGAUUUUUAUUUUUAUUUUUGAUUUUAAAAUUUGAAAUAAGAUUCCUAUUCUAAAUAUGUAAGCCCUAAAACAUGCAAUAUUAUAACCCAAACACAUUUCAAGAUAAACAAAGCGAUCAUGACAAGCUAAACCAAGGAUAUCACACAUCAUUCAGAUCAUAGGUAAAAUUUCGCUAGUAAAAUCGAUAAAUUGAUCUUAAGCCUUAAAGAUCAAAAUAUCAAUUUUAUUCCCGCUUGAUUAAUUAUUUCAUCUAAAGCCUUAUAGACGAAAUAAAAAUCCAAGCGCGGUUGCAAAUCAGGUGAUAUGUUGGAAUUUCCAAUCAUAUAUUAAAGACUAAUUAUAUUGAAAAAACAAGAUAAAGUAAAAUAAAAUAAAAUAAAAUAAAAAGAAAAAACUACCUGAUGUGCUUUUUUUUUUUUUUUUUCUUUUUUUUAAAGCAAAGAUGAUGGUUGCUCCAGUAAGGGGAUUCGCCGGCAGUGGACUUCGGCGAGAGCAGCAAGGGUAGCUACUGGCGAGGGACUCUGGCGAAGAAGGGCGACAGUGAGCAUCGGUGGGGGAGGCUCUGGUGGUGUCGGGUUGCGGCAGGGACAGCAACGCGGCGGCGGCUGAGUGUUGGGCGGAGGCGAGUAGGGGCGGUGUGGUCUCCGAGUUGCGGGCUUCAAAUGGUGGGGCGUUAUAGGGACGGCAGGGGGCCUCGGGCAGCUGGUGCGGUGAGGUCGGGAGCGGCAGGCUUCGGAGCUCCGGCAUCGACUGGGCAGGAGCGCGAUCGUCGGGGCGAACCUCGCGAGCGGAGCAGGGGCGUUGUAGUGGCGUGGCUUCGGUGAGGGCGGGAGUGCGGUCGUCGGGACGCCUGGCGUUCAGUGCUGCUGGUGCGGAGUGACGAGGAGUGGCGAAUGGAGUGGCUGUGUUGCUGCGCGUCAGGGGCGAAUCCAGCGAGGCGAUGGUGGUGGAGGCGCGGUGGUGCUCGGGGGGAGUGGCGAGACCGGUGGCAGGGCGUCGCGGGUCGCUGGCGUCGAGUUGCGUGGAGCGGGAGCAGCAGCAGCGUCUUGGUGUCAAGGCAGCUUCGGCGGCAACCGGCGCAGCGGAGGCCGGCAGGUGGAACGGUGAGGGGAGACUCGGAGAAGAUGAUGAGCAGGAGCUUUUUUUUUCUUCUCUCUCUUCUCUCACGUCACUUCCUACGUCUCCUCUCUCUGUCUCAUCUCUCUGCUGUAUUUUCUUUUUGACUUUUGACUUCUCCCUUCUCCCCAAAACAAAAGAAUUGAUUUUCUUUGGGGUUUUUGAGCUUAAAAACCCGAAAGAAAAAGCACUCCUCACGUUUUUUGCUCUGAAAAUUCUUUCUUGAAUUCACUCUCGAAUUUUUUUGAAAAUCGCCCCCCUCAUACGAAAAAUGAAGCUCUCUUUUAUACUAAUUCCAAACGGCCGCUUUGUAUGGCAUUUUUCGAGUUUUCAUCUUCUGUCGCAUUAAAUCAAAGCUGCAAAUCAGAGCAUGAUUUCGCAAUCAGCUCAAUCUUGUUCAGAUUUCUUCAAUUUUGCAAAAUUCUUGCCUCUUAUUCACUUGAUUUUAAAUUGCUUCUACAUUUAAUAAAAUUCGAAUGCUCAUCAAAAUUUCAAAUUUCCAUGCAUAAUCAAUCAAAUAAAUUUCCCCUAUUUUUUUUUAUUUUUUUCCUUUUAUUUGUUCCAAUGCAAUUUUUAUUUUCCUUAUUUUCCUAAAUUUGCUAAAAAUAGGUGUCAACAGCUGCCUCUCUUUGAAGGUGAGCUUGUAGAGGUUGCCUUCAAAGACAACUUGAGACCUAAAUGUUGAUCAUGUAGAUGUACUGAGUGACUCUUUUUUUUUUUUUUAAAUGAAUCCCAUUUGGAAAUGAAAUUUAUAUGAUGCAUGGAAAUGUUAAUGCAAAUGAUAAAGGAACUUACCUGGAAUUACUUACCUUCGGGGAUGGUAGAGUAACUUAAGAUAGAUUGGUGUUACAUGUCAAGGACCCGUACUAUUCUACGGUCGCCCGGAAUAAUAACAUGACUUCACAAAGUGACUGCUUUCCCAGGACCCGUACCAUUCUACGGUCGCUUAGUAUGGCAUUGUUUGGUUAUGUCUAGGACCCGUACCAUUCUACGGUCGCCUAAACGAAAAAAAUGAUUUUCCAGGACCCGUACCAUUCUACGGUCGCCUGAAUGAAAAAAGAUUUUCCAGGACCCGUACCAUUCUACGGUCGCCUGAGUUGAGGUUGUCUAGGACUCGUACCAUUCUAUGGUUGCCUAAACAAAAAAAAUGAUUUUUCAGGACUCGUACCAUUCUACGGUCGCCUGAAUGAGGAAAUUGCUUUUUCAAGACCCGUACCAUUCUACGGUCGCCUGUUAGAGCAAUAAAUGUUGUCUAGGACCCGUACCACUCUACGGUCGCCUAGACUAAGGUUUUGCUUGGCUAGGACCCGAACCAUUCUUCGGUCGCCCAACCUUGCGACAGAAAUCAUCCGACCAGGACCCAAACCAUUCUUCGGUCGCCUUAAUCAAAUUGAAUCUGGAGGAAAAGUCUUUGGGGGACAACUCAAUUGAGUGUCGGUAUGCUUAAAAGGGAAUACCUGUGCAAUGACAAAUAUUCAAGGUAUGGAUAGAGAUAUACUUACCUGGUAAUAUCUCCGAUCUUCAAAGAUACGUCUCCUACAAAACAUGGUCGUAGGAGAGAAAACAUGCAUUUGUAAUCAUAAACAUGCAUCAAUAUAAUGGAGGUUAUGAUGAUUUCCAUUAAUCUUGCAUCACCUAAUUUCCAUUCUGAAUACAUGAGUGUCAUGAAUGUGUCAAAUGAGGGAUCCUUUGGUCUGAAAGGACUUUUUCUCUCAUCCUCAUUAAAAUGGCAAUUUCAUCAUGACCUUUGAUGUAGGAUUUUGUCAAUCACUCUAUCUCACCAUCGUCAUGCCCAAACCAGGGUUUGAGCAAUCUCGCAAGUGGUACGAUCUUAUCAAUUUGAGAGGUCUUUAACAAGGACCAUAAUGUGGGCCUGGUCAACGGCUUAACAAAAGGGACUCUUUGAGUCAAGGCUUUUGAAAGAAUGAGUGAUAUCUGUAAUCAUCUCUGGGUUUACAAGUCAAGAACCUUGCAAAAUGAGAAAGAAAUAAUCUUGCUCGCACUUCUUCGAGCGAUGCUUAAAACAUGUGAACCCCUAGGUUAAUUCAAGUGCCUUAAUUUGAAGAGACUUUUGCAAGGGACGUAACGUAGGCUUGGCUCAUAGGUUCAGAAAUGAAAGGAUCAUUUGGCUCAAAAAGUGUUUAUGGGGUCAAAGUUGGUGAUCAUCUUAACAUUUCAAACAAUUUUCCUCCCCAUCAUCGAAGAUUUUCUUCACAUCACAACUCCACCGAUUGCAACAUCUUAACAUUUGAGUUUUUUUUUUUUGGGUACCACCUUGUUGGGGAUACGACUCACUUCAUCAAGUGUUUGAUUUUUUUUCUUUGGGCAUUGGCCUUGCUUUUACCAGGCACACUGCUUUUCAUGCCCCAUUUUUUGCACUUUUUUUUUGGACAAAGUCUCCAUUUUUAUUAGCAUUGUAAAUCAUGCUAUUUGAGUGGUUUGAUUUUUCUUUCCUUGCCCCAGUGUGGGGGAUGAUCACCAAUUGGGUUUAAAGAAAUGAAAAUUGCAGGCUCAAGUGGGCUAUGCAAUGGGUAUAAGUAUGUAGGAUAGAGAAAGAAAUGCUCUUCGUCAUCCUAAGAUACUUAAGUUAACCCAUGAAUUCAAUGCAAUAGCACGACUUAAAGAUUGAUGAAAGUGAGAGCUAGAAAAUUUCAAUUCAUUUUUCUCACCUCAUGAUGCCAUUUUAUCUCCCAUUUGCCCCAAUGUGGGGUGAUUCUUGACAGGGGUAAUUCGAAAAGAAUAUCCAUAAGUGUAUGGGCUCAAAAGGGUUAAGCAAUGGAUCACCUAUAGUGUUUGGGAUAGAGAAACGAAUGCCUCUCAUCACCUUGGUUGACGUACCCUUUGCGAGAUAGCCCUCUUCCUUGCGGGCAUUGAAUUUUUCACACAACUCACUAGGGGUUAGUGUAUGAAACAGUGUAUGGAACAAGGCUUGCCUUUCAUCAUUCCAAAGUAUCCCAUUUGACACAUUCAAUUUAUCUCACACAAUUCAUCAAGGGAGAAAAAAUGCAAGAUUUGCAAUAAAAUUGAACAAUCGAACUCAUUGAAGCAAUUUAUUCAUCAUUGAAAUGCUUGCAGUUCAAAACAUGACAUUGAAAAUUCUAUCAUGGGUAAUACUUCUUGACAGCAUCUGAAUUAACAGGAGUGGAAAACUCAUGACCAUCCAUUUCUGCUAAUAUCAAGGCACCGCCAGGAAGUAUCUUCUUUACCACAUAUGGGCCGCUGUAGUUUGGAGCAAACUUGUCUCCAAGAUCCGGAAAGAUCGGCAAUAGCUUUCUUAGGACUAGGUCAUUUACCUCGAAAUGCCUUGGCCGCACCUUCCGGUUGAAAGAUUUGGCUACUCUCUGUUGAUACGCUUGGCCAUGGCAGAGAGCUUUCAAUCUUUUCUUAUCGAUCAAGUUCAACUGCUCGAAUCUUUGUUGUGACCAUUCCGCCUCAGACAACUCCACUUGGGAUAAAAUCUUCAGAGAAGGAAUUUCCACUUCUAUAGGUAGAACUGCCUCCAUGCCGUACACCAAAGCAAACGGGGUUGCCCCAGUAGAAGUGAGGAUCGAUGUCCGAUACGCCAUUAGUGCGAAAGGUAGCCUGUCAUGCCAAUCUCGAUAGUUCACGACUGUCUUAGCCAAAAUCUUCUUAAUGUUCUUAUUGGCCGCUUCAACGGCCCCAUUCAUUUGAGGGCGAUAAGGAGACAAAUUUAGAUGCUUGAUUUUGAACUCUUUGAACUACUCAUCAACAAGUUUGUUAUUCAAAUUGGUCCCAUUAUCAGUGAUGAUUGCUUUAGGGACACCAUAGCGAGCAAUUACAUCACAUUUAACAAACUUCACAACAUUAUGAGCAGUGACACUUGCAAAGGAUGUAGCUUCGAUCCAUUUGGAGAAAUAGUCUAUUGCCACCAAAAUGAAUCGAUGUCCAUUUGAAGCCUUGGGAUUGAUUGGGCCAAUCACAUCAAUACCCCACAUCAAGAAAGGCCAUGGCUCUGAAAACUGAUGCAGCUCAGUUGGAGGAACAUUUAUCUUAUUUCCAUGAAUUUGGCAGCGGUGACAACUUCGAACAUGCCGGAUGCAGUCACUUUCCAGUGUGAGCCAGUAGUAGCCUAACCUCAUAAUUUUCUUGGCUAACAUAUGUCCAUUCAUAUGUGGGUCACAUACUCCUUCAUGCACUUCUUGCAUGAUUUGAGUGGCUUUGACUGCAUCUAUACAUCGCAACAAGACAGAAUCGUAAGACCUCUUGUACAAAUUCUCACCACUGACGAAAAAUUUCGAGGCCAUCUUCAUGAUGUACUUCCUAUUAGCUUGAGUGCUUCCUUCGGGGAAUUCUUGUUUUUUAAUGUAAUUCAUGAUAUCGUAAUACCAUGGUUUUCCAUCAAGUUCUUCAAUCACAAUCAUACAAUAAGCUGGCUUCGGCAAAACUUCUAUUUUCAGGGGUUCAACCUCCAACCCAUCAGUGACUUGCAGCAUAGAGGACAACGUCGCCAGUGCAUCUGCAAAUUGAUUAUGAGACCUCGGCAAGUAUUGAAACGAAACUUCCUCGAAUUCUUUCACCAGAUUUUCUAAAUACUUAUGGUAUGGAAGUAACUUGGCAUCCUUGGUCUUCCAUUCUCCCACGGUCUGCAGUAUGAUUAGUGCGGAAUCUCCGAACACUUUUAACUUAACCACACCCAUCUCAAUUGCUGCUUGAAGCCCGAGGAUGCAAGCUUCAUACUCGGCCACAUUGUUAGUGCACGGAAAUAUCAAUUUUGCAGCUACCGGAUGGUGUUGUCCAUCUGGAGAUAUCAGAACUGCUCCAGUACCCGAACCGGAUAGGUUUACAGCUUCAUCAAAGAACAUCUUCCAUGAGUCUUCAUUUACACUCAAGACAUGGUCAUCAAGGAAACUGUCAUCAUCAUUAAGGACUCUUGAAUUCUCGGCCAAUAGAUCAGCAAUCGCUCAGCCUUUAACCGACUUUUGUGGCAUGAAUUGCACAUCAAAUUCCGAAAUCAAGAUUUGCCAUUUGGCUAACUUACCUACCAAAGCUGGUCGAUCAAGUAAGUACUUGAUAGGGUCGUUCUCAGUCACGAGGAAUGUUUGAUAAUGUAGUGUGUAUUGUCGUAACCUAUGCAACACCCACACCAAUGCCACACAAGUCUUUUCAACCUCAGAAUACUUCAACUCGAAUACGGUGAACUUCUUGCUGAGAUAAUAAAUGGCCCGUUCUUUUCUAUCAACAGGACUUUCUUAAGCCAACAUUGCGCCUAAUGAAUCACUAUGAAUAGUGAGGUAGAGAAUCAAAGGAUGCCCCGGUGAGGGUGGGACAAGAACUGGUGGGUUCAUCAAGUAUUGCUUCAGCUUGUUGAACGCUUCUCGACACUCAUCAUCCCAGUUGACUUGUGCAUUCUUCUUUAGAAGCUUGAAGAACGGCUUGGCAGUUUCAGAGAGUUGAGAAAUGAACCUUGCUAUGUAAUUCAAUCUCCCUAAAAGGCUCCGGACUUCUUUCACCGUUGAUGGAGGUUGCAAUUCACAUAUGGCCUUAGCCUUGGAAUGGUCGAUCUCAAUCCCUUUAUUGCUCACAAUAAAUCCGAGUAAUUUACCGGAUGUUGCUCCGAACACGCAUUUAGCGAGAUUUAGGUGAAGCUUGAACUCACGAAGUUGAUCGAACAACUUCUUCAAUGUUUCGAUGUGGCUUCUUCUUGGUCGGGUCUUCGCAAUCAUAUCAUCAAUAUAGACUUUAAUCUCAUUAUGCAUCGUAUCAUGAAAUAAUGCAACCAUGGCUCGCUGGUAGGUUGCCUUUGCAUUCUUGAGUCCGAAAGGCAUGACUUUAUACUGAAAGGUUCCCCAUGGGGUAAUAAAUGCAGUCUUUUCCUUGUCUUCCUCCUUCAUCCUUAUCUGAUUGUACCCAGAAAAACCAUCCAUAAAUGAGAAUAGUUCAAAGCCAGCAGUACUAUCCACAAGGACAUCUAUGUGUGGUAAUGGGAAAUCAUCUUUUGGACUAGCCUUAUUCAGAUCCCGAUAGUCAACACAAACUCGAACUCGACCGUCCUUCUUCAUCACCGGCACGAUAUUAGCCACCCAUUCAGGGUACUGUGAGACUUCAAUAAACCCCACAUUCAAAAGCUUCAUCACCUCUUCCUCUAUCUUCUUUGAGAGUUCGGGCUUAGUCCUCCGCAUCCUUUGCUUCUUAGGUGGCACAUCUGGAUUAGUAGGUAGGCAAUGCUCCACGAUUGACGGGUCUAGUCCAGGCAUGUCAGCGUAGGUCCAUGCAAAAAUGUCUUGAUAUUCCUUCAGUAAUUGAAUUAGGCGCUCAGCCUCAUCUUUGGGGAGACUCGCCCCAAUUUUUACUUCUUUGGCUUCUUCAAUGUCACUCAAAUUAAUAGUGACGGUCUGCUCAGAUGUGAGAGCUUUAGCUUUUUCAUGUUGUUCCCAGCUAUAUUGCACUUCAAUAGUCUUUGAUCGAGUCUUUAGGAUCAUCAUCAUUAGCACUUGUUGCAGUGGAUUGGACCAUUUCUACAUCUUUGCAUGCCAUAGGAUUGUUCCUGAAACAUGAGGUAGAUAAAUUAGAAAGACAAACAGAGUAAUCAACAUCUUUGCUUUUUUUUUUUUUUUAAAUCUUUGGCAAAACAUUUUUUUUGGAACAUUUUGACAUGAGGAAGCAUGAUGAAGCCUAGGCCUCAGAGUUCUCCUUGGAUUUUUCUUUUCUUUUAUCGGUUGGAUAUCAUCACCGGGCUGGUUUGGUGUACCUCAUCAUGCCCUCAAAAUAAAAUUUGUAAUUUCAUUGAAAUUCAUCAAUCGAUUACAUUUAUUGAAUGAAAAAAAAAUGCAACACUCAAUCAAUAAAAGAAGAAACUAAAAUCAUCAUUCAGAAAAUAAUAGAAAUUCCCACGCAAGGGAAUGUGCAAAAUCAAUAAAAUAGUUACUCUUGUGGGCCAAGGCCCAUCUCUUCAGGGGUCCUUCAUUAAUGGCUCCUAUGAUGAGGUUGUUGAAUAAGCUUGCAACUCCUUCCAGCUCAUCAUCAGGGUUCUCUGCUUUCGGGGGUGUCGGAUCAUCCAUGCCACCCCAUCCAUCUGGGACUAUCUCACUAGGAUCAAUGUAGUAGCUAGGAGGGGUUGAAUACUUCACCAGGUAAUCAAACUUGCCACUAGGCUGCCCCAAAGUGUCUAUCACUUCCGCUUCUUCAUGCAUCAUUCUUGGAGGACCAGGGAAUGUCUCGUGAAUGCUCGGGGGUAGUGGGUUUUGCCUCCCUCGCCCUUGGUUAGGUGGCGAGUUCCGCCUUUCUUGUCUUCGUCCUUCAGAACUUCCCCCACCUCGUCCAUGGUACCCUAAACCAGCAGAACGGAACCUCUGAGGGGCUUCAAUGGGGCUUCGAAUGCCCUGACCAUUUCUCCUAAGACCAUUGCCAGGGACGAAACCAUUCCCAACCAUUACUCUUCCCACCAUGAGAGUAACAUCUGAUACUUCAGGGGUAGGUGGUGAUGAACCCCGAGAAGCAUGUAUGGUGGACACCAAUUCGAAUGAGUGGUAACUUGAUCCAAACCGUGAAUCCGGUUCUACAUAGGGGAUAGCCGUCUCAUGAUAGAUCCGGUGGUCUUCCUCACCAUACACGGUGACCAACUUCUUUUCGAUCACAAAUUUCACAGCUUGAUGUAGACUUGAAGGUACUGCUCCAGCAGUGUGUAUCCAGGGACGACCUAGCAAGAAAUUGAAUGCAGUAGGGAUGUCUAGCACUUGGAAGGGAAUGUUGAAGACGACCGGCCCUAUUUGGACAUCGAGAUGGAUUUCCCCGAUCACCUCCUUUUUUGUUCCAUCGAAAGCUCGCACCGAAGUCUUCACGGCAUGUAUCCUUGACGGGUCUACCUUAAGAUGGUGAAGAGUGGCCAACGGACAAAUGUUCAGAGCGGACCCAUUAUCGAUGAGCACUUGGGACAUAUGAGAAGACUUGUGCUUAACGGAUAUGUAGAGUGCUUUGUUAUGUCCCCUGCCUUCGAGAGGGAAUUCCUCAUCAGAGAAGGCAAUCAAAUCCUUGAGAAGGACCGAUCCCAUGAAUUCUUCUAGCUUGUAUGCUUCCACAAUCUCUGGCACAUGGAUUUCACUCAACACCUUCAUUAGUGACUUUUGAUGCACGGGGGACGUCAUCAAGAGCUCGAGUAGGGAGAUCUGAGUAGGCAUCUUUCAUAGUUGGUCAACCACGUUAUACUUGCUUGCUUUGAUUACGGCCAGAAACUCCUUAGCCUCUUCAUUGGUGACCGGCUUUGCAGGUUGAGUAAUGGCUUGACCAUAAGUCCGUCCAGACCUUGUAACAAGGUCCACAUCCAAGUCAUAGGACCAAGGCACUGCCUUAUUAUUGACAUACUCAUACGACUGAGGCACCUCUAUCACUAUCUCUUCGUCAAAUGCAUCCUCUAAUGGGGGCAUGUCUUCAAGCGAAGGAUCAACCUCUUUCUUAUCAGCAUCAAGUGUAGCCUGCUCCUCCUCCCAAUCGAUGAUGAGGUGGGAGAUAGUAGAAACUAUACAGUUAUGAUCAGCAUACACAAUGAUGCCAUCAUCCAUCAUUUUGGCAACUCUUUCUCUCAUCACCGAUAGAGGGACAUCUUCCUAACCUCGGUAAUACCCAGCUCUCACUAGCCCGUUGUAGGCAUCUGCCACGUGCACCUUUGAGUUCCUGAUCCGUCCGACUUCAGGUUCCAGGAUGGCAUUCACUGUACCCUCAUGCUUUGGUAGCAGAUUUUUUUGAACGUUCGGCCGAGUAGUUUGAAAUGAAAAGGCCUUUGUAUCUAAGAUAUUCUGGAUCUUGUGCUUGAGAGUGAAACAUUCAUCAGUUGAAUGCCCUAGUUCACCGUUAUGGUAGUCACACUUCUUCGUCGGGUCGUAACCACGAAUGCCUUCACGGUUAAGGCACUUUGGUUCACUAGUAAGCAAAUCUUUCUUUUGGAGGACUGUCAGUACUUGGGAUGGAGACCUAGGGAGAGGGGAGAACUGCCUUCUAUUAUUCGCUUGGGCGAAUGAUUGACGGCCAGCGGGUUGUUGUUGUCUUGGGUUCACUUGUAUAGCCAGGGCACGUUUGGCACUUUCUUGGCUAUAAGCCACAUUUACAUCCACGGCCGCUUCCUUCUCCUUCUUAGUAGAGAACCUUUUAGUAGAUGGCUCAGAAAACCAUCAUUCCCUUAUUCCCAUCUCAAUCUGUUCUCCUACAGGAAUAAGCUGAUUGAAGCUCUCAACAUAUGUACUGGCCAUUCGAUUACGGAACUCAGAUGGAAGGGUCUUCACGAACAACUUCAUCAACUCCUUGUUGGUAGGCUCAAGAGUAAUUUGAGCCGCCAAGUUUCUCCAUCUCAUAGCAUAUUCUUUAAAUGACUCACUCCUUUUUUUUUCCAUCCGCUCCAGGUCUUCUUGGGAAGGCGCGAUGUCCAUGUUGAACUUGUACUGCUUGAGGAAUGCGUCCGCCACUUCGUUCCAGGUUUCGAGGAGGUUUACGUUCUUCAUCACGUACCAGUUUAGUGUGGGCCCGGUCAAACUCGCAUGAAACGAUUGGAUCAUAAGGGGCUCAUUUUUUACGUGCUAGGCCAUGCGCACGUGGUACAUCUACAAAUGAGACUUCGGACAAGAUGUCCCGUUGUACUUCUCGAACUUUGGCAUUUUGAACUUGCUCGGCAUUUUAACCUUCUCAUAGAUCGAGAGGUCAAACGGGAGUGAGCUUUGAGACUCCUGCAGCUGUCUCACUUUCUCUUCUAGCUUUGCAACGCGGUCAUCCUGAUCUGUCUUGGGAACCAUGUCAUCUUCUAGCUCGGGCAUUUCGUCAUCACUCAUUUGGGCCCUAUUUGCUUGCCUCGGGACUAUUAUCUCGGGGAGAGCGGGUGGAGGAAUCCGGUUCAUUUGGAGGGAUUGGAGUUGAGCUAUUACGAGCUGCAAGGAAGUAGCUAAUUGUUUGAGUUGAUCUUUCACAGAGGACAUGCGAUUGCGCAUCUUGUUUUGGUCAGCCAUCUUAGCCUUUGAUCGCGUAAUAAUGGGAGAGCGCGGAGGAUCCGUUAUUACAUGAUGGAAUAAAUGAAUACACAUAAGUACUUCAUAUAAAACAAUGUCGGUCCAUGACGAAAGUCUAACUGCUUUUAUUCAUUAUUAAAAUUGUUUGACAUUAAUAAUGUAAAGAGCUUGCAAAAUCUUAAACUAAUCAAGUAAACGACUCAACUUCCUAAACAUUAAGUUAAAGUAAAAAGAUCGAAUAGAUUCAAGCCACUUUAUUUGGCCUGAUCUAUAAAUAUAUGGGAAGCCAAUGCUCGACGUAAUUGCCUCUUCUCUUUAGCGUCUUUCUUGGCUUGCUCUUCAAGUUCUUCAAUCUUCCUCUUGUGAUGACUAAGCUCUACUUGUCGAGUGGGCUUCUCGGUCACAUUUGGCACCUUUGGGAGAUACUCGGUCGGAAUCUUGUGCUGACGGAUGUAUCGAGCCGUGGCAUAGUAAGUCUUCUCCUUCCCCUCGAGCUCAUCUUCAGGUAAGCUCAACUUUUGUUCACGACAUGCAAUCCAAACUUGUUCGAUACAGCGGAGUUCCUUCUUGUGAUCGCCAUCCUUAGCAGUGAAUUGGACUUGGAACAAACCCAGCUUGAGAGGGGGCGGUAGAUCCUGCACAACUCGAUAUUGACGAGCCACUCGGAGUGGGUAGUAGGAAGUGACAUCGGUGAUCCCCAAUAGCGGGAUUGGCUCAUCAUCCCAUGAGAGAGACGUGCUUUGGAGACUUGGAACCAUUUAGCAUGCCAUAGAAAAAUCUUGGUAUUCGGAUUUUUCAAUAAUUUGACCCAUUUUGAGUAAGAAAGAUUUGGAGUUUGAUCCCGACGAUUUUUAAAUACUUCGAUGGGAUGAUGGAAAUCAGUGACAUUAAUAAUAUCCAUGCGAAUAUUGACCUUACUCAUAUGAGAAAAGAACCAGAUUUGUAAAAGCUCGAUUGGUGCACGAAAGGUUUUAUCUUCAUCUUCCUUAAAUCGGGUGAGUGACAAAAAUGUUUCAGCUGGAAUAGUAUUGACAAAACUGAUCUUAGCACACACUUGCUUGACCACCCAUGCGAUAGAUGGAUUAAUGGCGCCCUUAUGAAGAGGGAAAAUAACAAAUCCGAAAAAAGCUAGGAGGAAAAUCCUACUUUUUAAGAGAGUGUUAGCACUGGCAAAAAUCUGAUCUAGGAAAGAAAAAGGACAUGCAAGACAAUUAUCUUUCAGCACUCUUUUUAUCAAAUUCUUACCCAUCUUAAGAAAAUCUGACAAAAUUGAUUAUGGUUCUAAUCCGAUGGGUGGAUUUAUUAAUUCCAAUUCCAAGGGUUUUCCUAUGGCGAUGCUGUAUUCUUCGAGAGUCGGAGUCAGCUCAUGCUUACCGAAUAUAAAUGUUGAUGUUCGGGGGCUCCAGAAAUGAGCAAGUGCUUGCAUGAUGCCACUCUGGACAUCAACGUCAAGGAGGGGAACAAGGCGACCAAGUUUGCUCUCUACAUAGCUUUGGCCCUCGUGGCCUAGAAGAUCCCACCAUGAUUUGAGUUCAACCUUUGGUGCUGGCACAAAUCGAAUGUCGGAUUUUCCCAUUGUUUAUAGACCAGGACUCGACCAACCUAAUGUCAUGGACCAACCAAAUACAUAAAUAAAUAAAUUGCAAGAGUAAAGGAUAGUGAGCUUACUUUACCAUACGAUUAAAGCAACCACAUAGACAAACGCAUGAAGUGUGAGGCUCGAUUUCUAUCUAGACGGGCUUAGCAAAGUGGAGUUAAAAGGGUGGGAUGACUUAGUUGCAGCCUCGCAUACCAAGUCACGUCCUCCUAACUUCCGGCUCAGUCAUGAAUCAUACCCCAAUGCAACGCAGCCUCGCGGGCAGAGGUAAACAUUCUUGACACCAAGAAAAACUUUCGGGAUUGAGUUGGGCAACCUCUAUUACGUGGCCUCGCGGUCGAAGUUGUAUCCAACUCAAUACCAUCAUAAAUAUCCUAGUGCAGCCCAGGUCUGGCGGCAGGUUGUGUGUGCAAUAAUGUAGUGUUGAAUGCAAGACAUGCACAACAAUUUAGAUCAAGCAACACUUCAACAUGAAAAUAAACCAUACAUUCCUUCACCUCCCUACAAAACAGAGGUUAACAAACGCUUCCCCUUAUACCUCCCAAUCUGCAAAAAACAUUUAACACCUUAAAUGUUAGGGACGUACCUGGGAUCCUCGCUGCCAAACAAAAACAUUUUUUCAAAAGAAAAGAAAAAUUGGCCUAAGUCCACUAAGAGUUUCUACUCAAAUCCCCAGCGGAGUCGCCAAGCUGUCGCGACCAAAAUUUUUCGGGUGUGAACCACCUAGGGUUUGGCUAAUGGAUUGUUAAGCCUAAACUUAACUCGGACUCUCCCAAGCCCAUACCAAUUCGCGACUUAGGUUCAAGUUCUUAACACGCAAUUGAUUUUUUAAUCAGGAGUCGCCACUAAUCUAUUUUUUUGGUGGGUCGAUUAGUAACCCAAGUAAAGUAAUGGGAGUUUCACUUUACUCCUACGAACCAGAGACUAUGGGUACAUGAACUUGGUUACACUAGAUUUCUCUAAUGCCAUUUCGGUACCAUUCUUUUAUUUUCAAAAAAUGUUUUUGCAGGCAGCUUAAAUUGAUUUUAAAUUUAUUUUCUAACAUGUGAGGUGAUCACACGGGUGCGCAAUCCACCAAUUUAACACCUAGAUAAACAAUAAAUAAAUUGCAAAAACUUACCUCAAAGCAACGAAAGCAUCUGCAAUAUUAAGUUAAAAACCGUAUUAACAACCCUAGAUAUGGUUUCUAAUUACCACGCAAUUUCUUUUUUUGUUUUCACUUAAUUAAUGAAAAUCAUGCAAUAUGCAAUGCAAUAUUAACUAAAUGACCUAAUUCUAAUGACAUGCAAUUUCUAGUUAAAUAGGCCUAGCAAAAAUACUAAAUGACAUGCAUCCCAGUGAAUCUAGCCCUAAUGACGUGCAUAUGCCAUUUUUCUCUUUUUCCUAAAAUAAUGCAUUUUAUCAUAAACAAUAAAACUAAUUUAACCUAUGGCAUUUUUUUUUUGUAUUUUUCAGGUGAAAUGUGAAAAUUACCUAAUUAGAUUAAGAUCCUAUUUAAUUUAUAUUAGGAAUUAGGUUGAGCCAAAUCCUAAUUUAAACUAAAACAUUAUCUUAACCUAAAUAAUCCUAAAAUGCAAUAUAUCUAAAAAAUACCUAAACUUAUAACAAAUUAAGAAAAAAUAUUAUCUAGAAUUGAACUAAGUGCAAUUUAGUCCUAAUAUGCAAUGACGUGCAAAAUAUACUUUAACACUACAUGACAUGUAUAUGAUGAUUUUUGUUUUGUUUUUGUUUAAUUUCGAAAUUAAUAAUUGCCAAAUAAUUAAACAUGCAAUCCAAAUUACAAAUCUAGCAACCUAAAUUGAGUGAUUUGAUUUUUUAUUUUAUUUUAGAUUUUAAAAUUCGAAAUAAGAUUCCUAUUCUAAAUAUGUAAGCCCUAAAACAUGCAAUAUUAUAACCCAAACACAUUUCAAGAUAAACAAAGCGAUCAUGACAAGCUAAACCAAGGAUAUCACACAUCAUUCAGAUCAUAGGUAAAAUUUCGCUAGUAAAAUCGAUAAAUUGAUCUUAAGCCUUAAAGAUCAAAAUAUCAAUUUUAUUCCCGCUUGAUUAAUUACUUCAUCUAAAGCCUUAUAGACGAAAUAAAAAUCCAAGCGCGGUUGCAAAUCAGGUGAUAUGUUGGAAUUUCCAAUCAUAUAUUAAAGACUAAUUAUACUAAAAAAACAAGAUAAAGUAAAAUAAAAUAAAAUAAAAUAAAAAGAAAAAACUACCUGAUGUGCUUUCUUUUGUUUUUUUAAAGCAAAGAUGAUGGUUGCGUUGGUAAGGGGAUUCAUCGGCAGCAGACUCUGGCGAGAGCAGCAAGGGUAGCUACCGGCGAGGGACUCCAGCGAAGCAGGGCGACGGUGAGCAGCGGCGGGGGAGGCUCCGGUGGCGUCGGGUUGCGGCAGGGACAGCAACGCGGCGACGGCUAAGUGUUGGGCGGAGGCGAGCAGGGGCGAUGUGGUCUCCGGGUUGCGGGCUUCAAAUGGUGGGGCGCUGCAGGGACGGCAGGGGGCCUCGGGUAGCUGGUGUGGCGAGGUCGGGAGCGGCAGGCUUUGGAGCUCCGGCGUCGGCUGGGCAGGAGUGCGAUUGUCGGGGCGAACCUCGCGAGCGGAGCAGGGGCGUUGCAGUGGCGCGGCUUCGGCGAGGGCGGGAGCGCGGUCGUCGAGACGCCUGGUGUUCGGUGCUGCUGGUGCGGAGUGACGAUGAGUGGCGAAUGGAGUGGCUGUGUUGCUGCGUGUCAGGGGCGAAUCCGACGAGGCGACGGUGGCGGAGGCGCGGUGAUGCUCGGGGGGAGCGGCGAGACCGGUAGCAGGGCGUCGCGGGUCACGUGGAGCGGGAGCAGCAGGAGCGUCUCGGUGUCAAGGCAGCUGCGGCGGCAGCCGGCACAGCGAAGGCUGGCAGGUGGAACGGUGAGGGCAGACUCGGAGAAGAUGAUGAACAAGAGAUUUUUUUUUUUCCUUCUCUCUCUUCUCUCACGUCACUUCCUACGUCUCCUCUCUCUAUCUCAUCUCUCUGCUGUAUUUUCUUUUUGACUUUUGACUUCUCCCUUCUCCCCAAAACUAAAGAAUUGAUUUUCUUUGGGGUCUUUGAGCUUAAAAACCCGAAAGAAAAAGCACUCCUCACGUUUUUUGCUCUGAAAAUUCUUUCUUGAAUUUACUCUCGAAUUUUUUUGAAAAUCGCCCCCCUCAUACGAAAAAUGAAGCUAUCUUUUAUACUAAUUCCGAACGGCCGCUUUGUAUGGCAUUUUUCAAGUUUCCAUCUUCUGUCGCAUUCAAUCAAAGUUGCAAAUCAGAGCAUGAUUUCACAAUCAGCUCGAUCUUGCUUAGAUUUCUUCCAAUUUGCAAAAUUCUUGCCUCUUAUUCACUUGAUUUUAAAUUGCUUCUACAUUUAACGAAAUCCGAAUGCUCAUCAAAAUUGCAAAUUUCCAUGCAUAAUCAAUCAAAUAAAUUUCCCCUAUCUUUUUCAUUUUUUUUCCUUUUAUUUGUUCCAAUGCAAUUUUUAUUUUCCCUAUUUUCCUAGAUUUGCUAAAAACAGGUGUCAACAGUCUUCCAACAAAAAAUGCAUAAUUCACUAUUUAAUUCUUAGUGAUCGGAAAUGAAUAUUAAAUUAGUGAUGUAUGAUCAUGGAUCGGUAAUGUGCUGGCCUUGAACCAUACGGAUGGAUUAGAUGUCGACUGGAAUGAGCUCAGGGAUAGACUUGGCUAUUUCAUCACUAAUUUUAAAGUCCAUGAGUGCCUUGGCUUAGUGCUAGGCCUUGGCCAGCCUUAAGAUUAGCCUUGAAUCGAUUGAAAAACAACCAACCACUAACCCUUUAGGCCGACUGAUCGUCUAAGGGAAUGGUUUGGUUGAGUGUUGGACACAAUUGUCGAACCUCGGGUGUAUGUGAUUCAGUUUUUCGAGGUGUAUCUAAUGAUCUUUUUCUCGGCUUCGAAACUAACUUAGACGAUGGAAUUCUCUAGACCACAUUCUUGAUGAAGAAAAUGACAAAAUUGAAGAAAACUCUAGAACACCCUCAUUAAUGAAGGAGGUGAUGUAUUCUUUGACUUUUCAAAAGUAAUGAUGAGGUUGAGGAUUUUCUUGAUGGGCAAGAAAAAGAUGGCAUACACAUGGACCAAUCGGAGAGCGAUACAUGAACUCCUCAUAAUGACUGAAGAAUCUAGAAGCCAAGUUGGCAACUUUGAUGGCAUCUUAUCCAAACUUCAUUAAAUGUGGGGUACAAGUGGUCCAAUGAAAUGGUGAAAAGCGAGCCAUCAUCGAUGAUGCCUGCAAGCUAAAUUUGCUAAGUGUGACCUUUUAGGCGUCCAACUCAUUCCUUAGGCGUAAUAAUUAGACAAAUAGACUUGCCAACUAAGGAUCUUAGGUAGGACACUUGGAAAAUUGAGAAUGGACCAUUUAGCUCGAUAAUGAUGGCGCCGAGUAGUAUAAAUGGGAGGACCCCUCCUCAUUUUUCACCAUGCCAUUCACUUUCUCAUUUACUCCUCCAUUUUCUUUUUCUCGGCCUUACAUCCUCAAUCCCUCAAGCUAAUUUAAGUUAGUCUUCAAGGUUCACCAAGGUAAGUAAGAUUCCUCUUUUUUCUCUACGAAGUAGAUCCCAUUGUUGAGACUAGUUAAGUGCCCACCUGUCAAGCCAUGGGUAGUGUAGAAUGUCUUUUGUUGAUCUUGCUUGCUAUAGGACAUGUCCGUGUGAUUGAGUCAUUUAUGUCCAGAAUGAAACUGAGGUUCGAUUGGAUUGAGUUCAUCACAAGACAAAAUCGCCAAGCCAUAAAGCCUUGGUUUUGGCAUAGAUAAGAUGCCGGGUCCAAGUCUCGCUUCGUGUGGAAAUCGCUCGAGAUUGCAAGGUCAUAAAUCGACAUUGAGGCAUGUCAAUUUUAUGCCUUGAUCGAUAUGGAGAUCGUCCAAAUCCACGAGGUCUUGGUAAGGCACCAAAGCAUGCCGAUUUCCAUAGUUCAAAUGGACGCGGGGCCAUUGUACUUGGCGUUGGAUCAAACUACGAGCUGAGGCUCAUUCAUGAUACAUGUUUAUUUACAUCGGGUCAAAGCUGAGGUCCAUCAAGCUUGGGAUCGUCACUUAAGCAAGGUGUACCAAAGCCUCAAGGUCUUGAAUCGGUAUUGAGGCAUACUGUUUCCGAGCCUUGUUUGGUGCGGGGAUUGAUGCUAAGUGAUUGAUUCAAGUUACGGACCAAAGACUGUUCCCGACAUAUUUGCUAAUGAAGUAUAGGAAAUUCAUGAUACAUAUGAAUGAAUGAGCACACCUUCGGGUCAUGCAUGUGUCAGAUAAGAGAAAAGACAAGAACUGACUUGUAUGAUGCAUUUAUGCAUGUACUUAAAGAGAAAAAGUGCCCAUCACCACACAUCGUUGGCGGUGAUGCGUUGUUAAUUGAAUGAGAUGCCUUAGUUGAGUCAGGAUGCUUGGGUCUUGAACCCAGAAGCCUUGAGAAGCUAGCAACCAGAAGUCUUGGUCGAGUCAAGAUGCCCUGGUCGAGCUAGGAAGUCUAGCUAAAAGUUGGAAGCCCUAGUUGAGCUGGGAGGGCUUGAUUGAGCCAGGAUGACGCUAAAUGAAUUUGCAUAAGUGUCGGUAUAUGCAUAAGUAUGAUAUGUUGAUAUAUUUAUUGAUAAGCCAAAUGUAAGUAUGCAUUGAAGCAUGUUGCGAUGGACAUUUGCAUGUAGUCAAGGGUAGCAACAAGUUUGUUAUUGAUGUACCAUCAAUAUUGUUUGCGAGUGUUGUACUUACUAAGCUUCGAUGAUGAGAUGCUUUCCUAGUAGAGAACUAGGAAUUUUACUUACUAAGUUUCCCCAAAACUCACUCCUUUAUCUUUCAGUUUUGUAAGCAUGAAAGUCUUAUGUUAGUGUUGAGAGCUGCAAUCAUGCUAGAAGAGAUAGGAAUUCUCUUGGCCAAAUGGAAAACUUAUUGAGUGAUGCAAAAAGAAGAGAGGGCCCGUAAAGAAAUGGUUUGUAAAAGUAUUAUUAUAAUAUAAAUCAGUGUGUUUUGUGUGAUGUAUGUCCCACACUUCCAGCUAUUGUUUGUUUGGGGAGUUAUUUGUUUACGUUUUCACAUGUGCAUGAUAACAAGAUAAAAAGAAUUGGAACAUCGACGAGCUUGGGAUGUCGUGAAAAUAACCCUUGUUGGAGUUGGGAUUGUGACACCUUGCACUUGCCCUCACUCACUUUAGGCAUGGGUGGCUACUAUACCAGCCUAUCCUGCGGUAGCCAAGACCGAAAUAUCGACAUGGAGUCUAUCUUCCCCACCAUGAGGCCUCCUAAUCCCACCUCUAAUUUUGUCUUCCUGAGGUGGAGGGAAUAGGGGGUGACAUUGCGGGUCUCCCACCCCUGAGCGGUUCUCCCACCUGUUUCUUUCCCAUGAGCCUUUUAAGGACUUGCUCAGGUUCAUAAUUCGAGAAAUUAUAAGUACCAAAAGAAGUUAUUCAGUUGUCGGUCGCUCUUCUCCUUGCAUGAAGACCGGAGGAUUUUUUUUUUUUUUUGGAUGAAUUGGGCUGCUAGACAUGUCACAACACAAACUUUGUUACAUCAAUUUGCUCAAUUUGGAUUGUGGCCAUUAUUAUAUGUUCGGUUCACAAACAAGCAGCAUUGAUGCUACGUAUAGAAGGAUUGUACCUCUCAAUUCCUAUGAGCAGAUGCAUUACAAGACUACACUGCUAAAAAAACUUAUUGAGAUCCCUUGGAUAAACGAAAUCACGUUGAAGGUGCAAAGUUUAUCAGUAAUUAAGCGAUUGGACAACCGCUUUGAAAAACUAGUAAAAGUUCAAUUAAAAUCGAUAUAUCAUGCAAUAGGAGCCUAGAUUGGAAUCCGAGUGGACAAGUAUGUUCUAUCUGAUAACUGCUUUUGUUAGUUUGAUAAGAAACGGACUUGCGAAUUAGGCAGGAACCAUUCUUUUACAUUUUCUGUUAAACUAACUUUUAGGACUGUUUCUGGCACUUAACAAACAAAUAAAAAUAAAAUAUAUUGCACACUCGGAUUCCGCACCAAUCUACUCAAAUAUAUUCUUAUAAUUUGUUAACUAAAAGAAGCCGACUCGUAAAGGAGAUACAGCCUGGAAGGGACAAUUGAUUCACGUCACAUUUUCUAAUACCUGAAACCGACCUUCGAUCCUGGAAAGAUUGUUUGGGAUUCAUAUAUAGGAGCACGAGGUUUUUCACUAUAGGUGUCCUCAAAUGCUGCCUGUCCAUACAUUGGAAAGGAGCUAAAAAAGAAAAGAAAGAAUACUUUGGUGGUCGAGGAAGUUCUAUAUGUGCCUUUAUCCAGGUUAUUCACUAGGUGUCCUCAAAUACUACCUGUCCGUACGUUGGAAAGGAGAUAAAAAGAAAAGAAAGAAUACUCUGGUAAUCGAGGAAGUUCUAUAUGUGCCUUUAUCCCUUGAUAUUUUUUUAAGUCUUGGACUUCAUACAUGGAAGAAUCCAUGUCAUAGAAAAUUCAUGAUGCUAAUGAAACUUGAGCUAUAAGAGAUGAGGGUGCAAUCCAGCUUACUUGAUUAAAUGUUCUCAAUUAUCAAAAGUUAAGCUCUCGAUAUGAGAAAAGUUCUUUUUCUAAUGAAUAUACGUACUGUUAUUAUUUUCAAAAUCAUGUGCAGAUAUGACAAUCUUUAAUUUCUCUCUAAUUAUCAAAUUAAGGACGUGUUUGAUAGCAAUAUCAAGUGUGUUCGAUCACCUCUGAUAACACAAAACUCAAUCAAUUGUUUUGGGUCUAAACAACUUCAUGCAACUAGUAAGGAAGGGAUUACUAAAUUAAUUAAGUUAUCAAAUACCCAAUGAAAAUUAAAGUAUCACUAAUGACAUUGCAAAACCUUUUUCCAAUAAUGUUCCCUAUUCCAUGCUUGGUAAGAAAUAAAAACAAGGGUGGUGUGUUAAGGAGUGAUGCUCAUGAGUAAGUAUUAGGCCACUAUAACUUCUUAUGAUUUCAAAACUCAAAAUGAUAUUAGCUUCUCCCAAGUCCUUCAUAUCAAAUUUAGAAGUCAAAAAGCAUUUCAUUAAAUCACAGUAUCAAUGAUUUUAAAAGAAUAAGCAUGUCAUCAACAUAUAAGCUAAUAAUUAUAGGUUCACUAUCAGCAGUUUUUGUUUAUACACAUUUAUCUACUUCAAUAGAGGAAAAUUCAUUGUUGACUAGAACUUAGUCAAUUUUCUCAUUCCAUUAUUUUGGUGCUUGCUUUAGGCCAUAUAAGACUUUAAGGGGGGAAAGUGUCAUACAAGUUCUAAGCCUAUUGCAUUUAUGUCAAUUUUAUUCUAAACAUUUUAUUUAUGCCAAUUUAGUCAUAAUCAUUUGACCUAGUGUCAAUUCAAUGUAUAUAUUUUGAUCUAGCACUAAUUCAGUUUUUUUAAGCUAUUUUUGGCCGGAUAUUACUGACGUUGACUCUAGUCAGCCUAUGUGGCAUGGUGGGUGUUAACUUGGAUAAAUUUUAAUAUUAUUUUAAUAUUUUUUGAAUUAUUUAUUCAUUUUUCCUUUUCUUUCUCUUUUUUUCCCCUUCCUCUUCCUCCAGCAGACCUUUGGCUAGCCUCGUCAGAUCUAGCGAGGGUAGAUCCUUGUCGGCCAUGGGAUUAAGUUGGCACUAAUAAAAGGUUUAUGACUAAAUUAGUAUCAACGUAAUAAGUUUACAAACUUUGUUUUCUUAGCCAGGAAGAGUACAUUGCUCAUGUUACUAAUGUUUAGUGUGGGAUUCUAAUUCAACAAGACCUAUAUGCUCUCGACAUAUCCUUAAAUUUGUUGAUUGAAAAUGCAAAGUCGGAAAGGUGAUUCAGCUAUUGCAAGAAUCAAUUCCAUCCAUAGCAUAUUCCUAAUAUGUACUUUGAACCAAUCUUAAAAUGAUAUUAUACGGUGUAUAAAUAGGAGUAUAAUAUGUUCACAUGUAUCUACGUCAGGCAAAGUGGAAAAGAAGAAUAUACUUUUUGGUAAUAAAAUUUUAGAAUUCGUUGAUAUUUUGGACUGUGCUAUUAUUAUGGAAGGUUCUAUUCUUAGCAUAAAAAAUCAUGAUGCUUAUAAACUCAAACUACAAGAAAAAUGUGGGCAUGACUCCAUUGCACUUCAUUUACUACCCUCACAGUCCCAAUUUGUCACGAGUUUGGCUCUGGAACUGUCUUUCAAAAUAUUCAGCAGGCGGCAAAAGUCUCCAAUAAUUAGCAUCACGCACGUGAAAGUGGAGGGUAUUGAGCUUGUAUAAUAGUAGGACGCUGAGAAGGCAUAGAGCAAGUCAAUGCCAUCCUAUAUUUUGAAGUACAGUAAAGGUGAAAAUUCUUCAAAAAUCAAAACUUUAGAAUUCUAGAACUUUUCCUCUUAAUUUUAGGACCAAGGUAGCAUUUCCUAGCAAUUACCUUUGGAAACCAUCUGAAUGUGGGUACUAAGAGCCUUCCUUUAUUCCUUCUACAUUGGCAUGGCACUUUCCAUGAGCUCUAUAUAAACUGAUCUUCGCCUUCGAACUUGAACACAAGAAAGAAACCAAAUCCAAAGCUUACACAAAACUUUGUUCUCUAGCUCACUCUCCUUCUACUAACUCACCUCAAUGGCACCUCAGGGAGAUCGCCUCGCUGAUAUUGGAAGGGAGGGUUUUGCACUACUAGACAUAUUUUAUGGUGGAGGAAAAUCAGGUCCAGCACCGAAGAAGCCAUGCAAUGUCCCACAGCAGCAUGCUCCCAUUCCCAACAACAAGAACAUAAUCGAUAGCGAGAAGGCCGCCGAAAGAUACAAAGGAGUGGUGGUCGUGGAGUCCCGCAAGAAGAAGAGGUUUGCCUGCUGAUGUUUUUAGGUUCUAGCGCUGUAACCGGAUGAACAAGUCCACGUCACUGUUUUCGUCAUACCAGUCAUUUCAAACUCUAGUACUGUGUUUUUUUAAUUUAUUUUAUUUUAAACUUUUGUUUUCUGGCCUUCUGAAGUUUAGCUGUGCACUAGGAUGUGUCUAAGCUAGUAAUUGGACUUGGGUUAUACUAAACACCCCGCGUUUUAUUCCUGUUUAGUUAGAAUAUCUAUGAUAUAACUAUUUACUUGAUUGGCGUGAAAAGAAUAUUCCAAUCGUUUCGACAGUGGAUGAUCACAACUUAAAUAACUUGCCAAAAACUAUCCUAGAACUACGUGGCCCAUUUAACACUCUGGUUCCAUUCUUGAGAUGCUCCUGCAUGAUUCAGUUCCUAAUAUUGACUAAGAUUUGAUAAAUACUUGCUGAAGCCGGAUCAUCCAAUUACGCAAGAUUCGGUUGUACAUCUAGCAAGCGCUUGCAACAUAUUGCAACAUAUAACUACACAGAUGGACCAUUCUUUGAUUUAUUGGUGCAAUUGCAUUUUUUUUCUUGUCUAGGAUGCUAACUAUUCUCUAGGAUCAAAAGUCACUAUUAUUGUAGUCGAGAAAUAUGUCCUCUAACUUCCAAGAUAUGCCAUCAAUUAUUCAGCUCCUAUUCAUAAAUUACAAGUAGCAAUCAUAAAAUAUCAGAGAUCCGCAUGUCAACAAGCAAAAGCUUCGACCAAAAAAAAAAAAAAAAACAAGCAAAAGCACGACCUUUACUUUUAGUGAAUUUAAAAGUGGUUCAUCUUAACCAACAGAACGAAAAGAAUAAAUGAAGGGGGACUCAUGAUGCACAUGUGAGGUUAACUCUGGGUGUCUCAGCUCAAAUACGCGUAGAUCUAAUUUUUAAGGCUCACGGAUUUCUCUUAAUUAUAAAGCAGUGCGCGUAAUCACUUUAGCAUGCUUUUUGGAUCCACUUUUGACUAGAAAGUUGGAAUUUAAACUUUUUUGCGUUGAUGAAGUUUCUCCGAUCUGUUGGUACCUGGUGGUGUGCAGAUGAAGGUUAGUAUGUGGCUACAAGCAGAAUAAUUAAGCUCUUGAAGAGAGAAUCAUUUGACUGGGAGGUUGUGAUAAGAGAAUCUUAAAACACUCAGAAAAGUUUCCACCGAGAGACGAUCAAUUUAAUGAAGCAAUAGAGUUGUUCCAGGCAUGCCAAACCGCUUUUACAUCCCUCCAAAAUCACCGAAGAUCUGAACCUAGAAAUUACAAGUACCAAAACAAGUGAUUCAGCUGCCGCUUGCUCCUCUCCUUGCAUGACGGCCGGAGGAUUCUUUAGAUGAGUCGAGCUGCUAAACAUGGCUCAGCACAAACUCGUUUCCUCAAUUUCGCUCAAUUUGGAUUGUGGCUAUUAUAGUGGGUUUAGCUCACUAAAAAGCAAUGUUGUCACUACAAAUAGGAUUGUACCUCUUAAAUCUCAUGAGCAGAUGCAUUAUGACCUUACACUGCUAAGAAAACUUAUUGAGAUCCCUUGAAGAAAAAAAUCACGUUGAGUGUACAAAAUAAUUGAUAAUUAAAAGAUUGGAGAGCCGCUUUUAAAAACUAGCAAGAUCAACUAGGGAUCGAUAUAUUAGGCAAUAGGGGUUUAGCUUGAAAUUCGAUGAGUUAAUUACGUUGGAAUCAUUCUUUCACAUUUUCUUUUACAUAGACUAACCUUUAUUAAUGUUUUUUGGGACUUAACCAACCAAAAAAAAAAAAAACAAAAAAAAAAUUAGUGCAUACUUUGUGGAAGCCCAUCGGGAGGGAAAAGUACCAAAAAAGUCAUAAACCUAUUGCAUUGGUACCAAUUUAAUCCUAAACUUUUUAAUUGGACCAAUUCAGUUAUAAACCUUUUUAUAUUGAUACCAAUUCAGUCCAUUCGGCCAAUUUUGGCCUGCCAGUGCUAACAUGGACAUCGGUCGAUGAUCGGACACUGACAUGGCAAUUUUUAAUUUUUUUUUUGAAUUUUUUCCUUUUUCUUUUCUUCCUUCUUUCUCCUUGGAUUGUUUUGACGGUGGACGGCGAGCCGUCAGCCAGGGUCGCGGCCCUCGCCUAGCCUCUCCUAAGGCUAUGGGCGAGGCCAGGCGAGGGCUGCGAUCCUCACUUACGGCUGGCAAGGGCCGCGAGGGCUUCGCGGCCCUCGCUUGGCCUCGCCCAGAUCUGGGCGAGGCCGGCCUUCCCUUGGCCUUGCCGUGGGCGAUGGUCGCCUUCAUCCGCGGCAAGGCCAGGGCGAGGCUGAGCGAGGGCCGCGAAGCCCUUGCCAGCCACCGGGGAGGGUUGCGGCCCUCACUUGGCCUCGCCCAGGGCCACGGGCGAGGCGGCUUUGCUCAAAUCUAGGCCAGGCCAGCCUCGCCCUGGCCUUGCCACGGGCGAUGGCCACCUUUGCCCACGGCAAGGCCUGCGAGGGCCGCGUUGGCCUCAUCGGCCAUGGGCAAGGCCACCUUCGCCCACGGCAAGGCUAGGGUGAGGCCAGCCUUGCCUUGGCCGUGGUCGGGCCCUUGCCUAUGGCUGGCAAGGCCAAGGCAAGGCUGGCCUUGCCUAAAUCUAGGCGAAGCUGCCUUGUUGAUGGUCCUGGGAGAGGCCGGGCUAGUCCAAGGAGGAAGAAGGAAGAAAAGAAAAGGAAAAAGAAAAGAAAAAGAAAAAAAGGAAAAGAAAUAGGAAAAAAUUCAAAAAAAUAUUUAAAAAAAUUGCCACGUUAGUGUCUGGUCACGGGCCAAUGUCCACGUUAGCGUCAGCACGCCAAAAUUGGCCGGAUGGACUGAAUUGGUACCGAUGUAAAAAAGUUUAGGACUAAAUUGAUUCAAUUGAAAAAUUUAUAACUGAAUUGAUACUAAUGUAAUAGGUUUAGGACUUUUUUGGUACUUUUCUCCCAUCGGAAUGCUGCUGGUGGUUGGCUCGUCGUGGAGGUUAUUCAUGUUGCGGAGAUGAGGGAGAAGGGAAGGUUCAUUCCGAUGGCUGCUUGGCACAAUAAAACCCUGGAGUUACUUCAAAUGGAAGGACAAACUGAUCGAUGAAAAGGGGUUUGGCGAAAGCGAAGGUCUUCCUAAAGAUAAAAAGUCUCAGACUGUUUGAAGGCAGGAGCUCAGUCACUGAUGGGCAACGGCGAAUGUGUCAUUGGCGCACGCAGUGUCUUACCCAAAAACGCUAGAGUUGGGGAAAGCUUUGGAGAAGAAAAUUUUCCGCCUGAGCAUUUUAGUCCGUUCUGUCUGAUCUGAUCAAAUUAGGCUUACAAAGAUAUCAAGUCUGUUUAUCGAGACUUAAUACGAACUCAAUCGUACUUGAUGGUGUUCAGAAUCAAACCUCUGUCCCUCCCAGUGUGGCUUUACAAAACUAAUCGAUGAAUAUGAGUCGUUAAAACAUGAUUAAAUGGACUAAAAGAGUCACGUUUUUUUUUUUUUUUAAGUAUUAUUUAUAGAUGAAUAGGUAGGUCUUACUCGCUUAUAAGACGAACAUAGUUAAAGAUGAUAACCGAUACUCUAAACUAUGUACUUUGUGCAUCUGUUGAUAUUCAACCAAGUCGUGAUUUCCAGCCUUACUCUUCACGACAAACUGAGAAAUGAUAACGCUUAAUUUUAUAUAAAUUUAAAAAAGAAGGAGAAUUAAGAUCCACUUGACAGAGUUAAUGCUUGAUGGACAUUAAUAAGGUUUAAAUUAUAGGGUUAAGUGGGAAUUUGAUUCCACACCAAUCUACUCAGACAUAUCUUGAUAAUUUGUUAACCAAAAGAGGCCGACUUGGAAAGUAGAUUCAAAUUGGAAGGGACAAUUGGUUCUCAACACGUGUCCUAAAUACUUUAAGCCCUCCUUCGGACUUGAAAAGAUUGUUUAGGAUUCAUCAAUAGACUAGAAGGUUGUCCAAAUCAAGGACGGGCGGUGACCGAGGAAGUUGUGCCUGCGGCUUCAUCCCUUGACAGAAUGUGUUUGUACAAGCGUCGAAAUCAGGCAAAGGAGAAAAGAAGAAGAAUAUAAUCUAAGGUUUGGCAGUUGUAGCUAUGCUUUAUACUAUACCUGCAAUGAUAUGGAAGGUACUGUUCUUAGCAUUAAAAGAUCACCGUGCUAACGAAACUUGAACGACAAGAAGAGGUGGGCACGAUUCCAUACGACUUCAUUAUCUAUCCACAGUCCCAAUUUGUCAAAAGUUUGGCUCCCGAACCAUUUUUCGAGAUCAUUUGCGGACGAGAAAGGCCUUCUUAAUCUCUCUCUCUAAAUACCUAGUUAUUGAAGUCUACUAGUCAUUAUAAUUGAUGGAAUAAGCUCCAUCAGACUUGCUGCGAUUCAACUGACCUCACUGGAAAUAUGUCAUCGGGCCAAUAAAACGCGGGUACUAGGAGCCUUCCUUUAUUCCUUCCGCAUUUCCGUGGCACUAUCCAUGAGCUCUAUAUAAACUGAUCUUGGCCUUCAAACUCGAACACAAGAAAGAAACCAAUCCAAAGCCCACGCAUAAGUUUCUAGUUUAACUCACUCUCCUUCUACUAUCUCACCCGCAAAUGGCACCUCAUGCCAAUCGUCUCGCCGAUAUCGGAAGGGAGGGUUUUGCUCUAGUGGACAGAUUUUAUGGUGAAGGGACAUCGGGUCCAGUACCAAAGAAGCAAUACAAAGUCCCAAAGCAGUAUGCUUCUGUUCCCAGUGACAAGAACGCAAUCGAUAGCAAGAAGGCCGCCGAAAAGUACAAAGGAACGGUGGUCACGAAGUACUACAAGAAGUUUAUUGGCUGGCGUUUCUAGGUUCUAGCACUGUAAACGUGUAAUGGUUCGAGUGACUUCCUAGAAGGUAGAGGUAACCGGAUGAAUAAGUCAUUGUCGUGGUUUUCACGGUUUUCCUCAGUCACUUCGAACUCUAGUACUGUGUUUAUGUAUAUCUUUUGUUUUUCAGCUUUCUGAAGUUUAAUUGUAUGCUUGGACAUGUCUAAGCUUUUAAUUGGACCCAUUUUACACUAUAUUCGACUUUUUAUUCCUCUCCUUG
rnacentral:lncRNA from 1 species